rfam:Lactobacillus helveticus DPC 4571, complete genome.
UUGGAUUUAGUAUAAUUUUAUCCGUAGAAAAGCUGAAGCGGUGGCUAUCCCUCAAGGAGAUGGUACUUAUGAGUAUUUUUUAACUCGUAUUCCUAUCUUAAAAGAAAGGAGAAGCCCUCGUGUCUGUAUCAGAUGCGUUACAGCUAAUACUAGAUUUCGGCUCAUUUGUCGUUAUACUAAUCUCAUUAA